AGCAGAACAGUGCUGGCUAUCAAAGCAGUCCCACCUGGUACAUGGACUUCUUUUAGGGAUAUCCAGAGGAUGAAAGAACCCUCCCUGAAAAUCAAACACAGGGGACUAAACCUUCUCCCUUUUCUGUACUCACAAACACCAAGAUACAGGCCAUAUAUUGAUGUGGUACAUUAAACAAUUGUGGAGCGAGUCCUGUGCUCUCUUCUACGUGGGCUGGAGAAAUAGCACCAGAUUGAGGGUUCUACCACCACAUAUUGU
rnacentral:lncRNA from 1 species